UAACUACUCCCUCUGUCCCAAAUUUCUUGUCUUAGAUUUGUCUAGAUACGGAUGUAUCUAAUACUAAAAUGUGACUUGAUACAUCUGUAUCUAGACAAAUCUAAGACAAGAAUUUUGGGAUAGAGGGAGUAAUUU
rfam:Triticum aestivum genome assembly, contig: Triticum_aestivum_CS42_TGACv1_scaffold_062140_1DL